rnacentral:rRNA from 1 species
ACGGAAGGCAGCAGUGGGGGAUAUUGGGCAAUGGGCGCAAGCCUGACCCAGCAACGCCGCGUGAGCGAUGAAGGUCUUCGGAUCGUAAAGCUCUGUCCUUAGGGACGAAGAAGUGACGGUACCUAAGGAGGAAGCCCCGGCUAACUACGUGCUAGCAGCCGCGGUAAUACGUAGGGGGCGAGCGUUAUCCGGAAUUAUUGGGCGUAAAGAGUACGUAGGUGGUUUUGUAAGCGUAAGGUGAAAGCCUGGGGCUUAACUCCAGCGAGCCUUACGAACUGCAAGACUUGAGUGCAGGAGGGGAAAGUGGAACUCCUAGUGUAGCGGUGAAAUGCUUAGAUAUUAGGAAGAACAUCAGUGGCGAAGGCGACUUUCUGGACUGUAACUGACACUGAGGUACGAAAGCGUGGGGAGCAAACAGGAUUAGAUACCCUGGUA